rnacentral:rRNA from 1 species
CAAGUCGAGCGGUAGAGAGAAGCUUGCUUCUCUUGAGAGCGGCGGACGGGUGAGUAAAGCCUAGGAAUCUGCCUGGUAGUGGGGGAUAACGUUCGGAAACGGACGCUAAUACCGCAUACGUCCUACGGGAGAAAGCAGGGGACCUUCGGGCCUUGCGCUAUCAGAUGAGCCUAGGUCGGAUUAGCUAGUUGGUGAGGUAAUGGCUCACCAAGGCGACGAUCCGUAACUGGUCUGAGAGGAUGAUCAGUCACACUGGAACUGAGACACGGUCCAGACUCCUACGGGAGGCAGCAGUGGGGAAUAUUGGACAAUGGGCGAAAGUGAUCCAGCCAUGCCGCGUGUGUGAAGAAGGUCUUCGGAUUGUAAAGCACUUUAAGUUGGGAGGAAGGGCAUUAACCUAAUACGUUAGUGUUUUGACGUUACCGACAGAAUAAGCACCGGCUAACUACGUGCC